CACACACCAACACACACAAUCACACACACUCAUACGAACACAGACACACACACGAACAGGGCGUCGCCGCCCUUCUACCCCGGCUAAGAUGGCCGCCGCCAGCCACCUCGGCACACCACCUUGGAUUUUUCUAAUAUUCACAAUUUUUUUCUUUGGCGAUUGGUAUCUCUCCGAAGAGGAAGAGUUUCUCCGAUUAAGGUCUUGGCCCCGUUCCGACGCGUUGUAGAUUAAUGAACUUCUGGUUUUCUUUCUCUUUCUCUUGAUCGAUUGGAGCUUGAUUUUAUAUUUUUUGUGGCUGCAUUUGGUGUAUGGAAGAGUCUGAUUCCAUGAGCAAGACAAGAUGAUUGGUUUAGUGAAAGGUUUUAAGGUGGGAUGGGUGCUCGUCUGAAAAAGGGAUAUGCAAACAGAAUUUGUGGCUUCAAAAUGAGUUGAACAACUAUUCAUAGUGUUGAAGUAGAUAUUCAAUUACUUUUGUUCACUUAUUCAUAACUGAAUAAUAGUUAUUCGGAACUUAUUGUAUGAUAUUCAUUACUGAAUAAUAUUUGAAGUUGAUAUUCGAUUA